rnacentral:rRNA from 1 species
CAACAGGGAUUGCCUUAGUAACUGCGAGUGAAGCGGCAAAAGCUCAAAUUUGAAAACCGGCAACCCCAGCCGGCAGUGUAAUUUGAAGGGACAUCUUCGGAGCUGGCGCCGUCUUAAGUUCUUUGGAACCGGACAUCAUAGAGGGUGAGAAUCCCGUGCCUGGGUGGCUGUCCCGCUCCGUGUGAAGUGUCUCCGACGAGUCGAGUUGUUUGGGAAUGCAGCUCAAAAUGGGUGGUAAAUUUCAUCUAAAGCUAAAUAUUGGCGAGAGACCGAUAGCGCACAAGUAGAGUGAUCGAAAGAUGAAAAGCACUUUGAAAAGAGAGUUAAAUAGUACGUGAAAUUGUUGAAAGGGAAGCGCUUGAGACUAGAUUCAGUCGGCGGUGAUCAGCUAUGCUUCUGCGUGGUGCACUUGCCGUCGAUUGAGCCAGCAUCGGUUUUGAUGGCGGGAUAAAGGUUUGAGGAAUGUGGCUCCCCGAUUCUGGGGAGUGUUAUAGCCUUGAGCGUAAUGCCGCCUGUCGGGACCCGAGGACCGCGCUUCGGCUAGGAUGCUGGCGAAAAGUCU